UCCCUUACUAAAUAUGAUCGGAUAUUGC
rnacentral:piRNA from 1 species